rnacentral:rRNA from 1 species
UAAUACGGAGGUGGCAAGCGUUGCUCGGAAUCACUGGGCGUAAAGGGCGCGUAGGCGGGGAGGUAAGUCGGGUGUGAAAUCCCUCGGCCCAACCGAGGAACUGCGCCCGAGACUGCUUCUCUUGAGUCCCGGAGAGGAAGAUGGAAUUCCCGGUGUAGCGGUGAAAUGUGUAGAGAUCGGGAGGAACACCGGUGGCGAAGGCGGUCUUCUGGACGGUGACUGACGCUGAGGCGCGAAAGCGUGGGGAGCAAACGGGAUUAGAUACCCCGGUAGUCCUGGCCCUAAACGAUGAAUGCUUGGUGUGGCGGGUAUCGAUCCCUGCCGUGCCGAAGCUAACGCAUUAAGCAUUCCGCCUGGGGAGUACGGUCGCAAGGCUG